rnacentral:tRNA from 1 species
AGGAUUUUAAGUUAAAAAACUAUUAACCUUCAAAGUUAAAAUUACUUUAAAGGUAAGUCUUA